AUUGAACGCUGGCGGCAUGCCUUACACAUGCAAGUCGAACGGUAACGGGCCUUCGGGUGCCGUCGAGUGGCGAACGGGGGCGUAAUACAUCGGAACGUGCCCGAUCGUGGGGGGUAACGAGGCGAAAGCUUUGCUAAUAACUCAUACGAUCUACGGAUGAAAGCAGGGGACCGCAAGGCCUUGCGCGGGCGGAGCGGCCGCUGGCAGAUUAGGUAGUUGGUGGGAUAAAAGCUUACCAAGCCGACGAUCUGUAGCUGGUCUGAGAGGAUGAUCAGCCACACUGGGACUGAGACACGGCCCAGACUCCUACGGGAGGCAGCAGUGGGGAAUUUUGGACAAUGGGCGCAAGCCUGAUCCAGCCAUGCCGCGUGCAGGAUGAAGGCCUUCGGGUUGUAAACUGCUUUUGUACGGAACGAAAAGCCUUCUUUUAAUACAGGAGGGUCAUGACGGUACCGUAAGAAUAAGCACCGGCUAACUACGUG
rnacentral:rRNA from 1 species